GCCGCCGCGCGCGACUGGCGAUGAAGCCGCCAAAAAGCCGGUUCACAGCCAGAACCGGUUUUGGAGGCCGACGUGGACACCACGGGGAAGCGCGCCGCCGUUUUCGCCGCUCGCCUGGGCGGCCCCG
rfam:Ottowia sp. oral taxon 894 strain W10237, complete genome.